rnacentral:rRNA from 2 species
AACUCUGGUAUUGAUUGGUGCUUGCAUCAUGAUUUACAUUUGAGUGAGUGGCGAACUGGUGAGUAACACGUGGGAAACCUGCCCAGAAGCGGGGGAUAACACCUGGAAACAGAUGCUAAUACCGCAUAACAACUUGGACCGCAUGGUCCGAGCUUGAAAGAUGGCUUCGGCUAUCACUUUUGGAUGGUCCCGCGGCGUAUUAGCUAGAUGGUGAGGUAACGGCUCACCAUGGCAAUGAUACGUAGCCGACCUGAGAGGGUAAUCGGCCACAUUGGGACUGAGACACGGCCCAAACUCCUACGGGAGGCAGCAGUAGGGAAUCUUCCACAAUGGACGAAAGUCUGAUGGAGCAACGCCGCGUGAGUGAAGAAGGGUUUCGGCUCGUAAAACUCUGUUGUUAAAGAAGAACAUAUCUGAGAGUAACUGUUCAGGUAUUGACGGUAUUUAACCAGAAAGCCACGGCUAACUACGUGCCAGCAGCCGCGGUAAUACGUAGGUGGCAAGCGUUGUCCGGAUUUAUUGGGCGUAAAGCGAGCGCAGGCGGUUUUUUAAGUCUGAUGUGAAAGCCUUCGGCUCAACCGAAGAAGUGCAUCGGAAACUGGGAAACUUGAGUGCAGAAGAGGACAGUGGAACUCCAUGUGUAGCGGUGAAAUGCGUAGAUAUAUGGAAGAACACCAGUGGCGAAGGCGGCUGUCUGGUCUGUAACUGACGCUGAGGCUCGAAAGUAUGGGUAGCAAACAGGAUUAGAUACCCUGGUAGUCCAUACCGUAAACGAUGAAUGCUAAGUGUUGGAGGGUUUCCGCCCUUCAGUGCUGCAGCUAACGCAUUAAGCAUUCCGCCUGGGGAGUACGGCCGCAAGGCUGAAACUCAAAGGAAUUGACGGGGGCCCGCACAAGCGGUGGAGCAUGUGGUUUAAUUCGAAGCUACGCGAAGAACCUUACCAGGUCUUGACAUACUAUGCAAAUCUAAGAGAUUAGACGUUCCCUUCGGGGACAUGGAUACAGGUGGUGCAUGGUUGUCGUCAGCUCGUGUCGUGAGAUGUUGGGUUAAGUCCCGCAACGAGCGCAACCCUUAUUAUCAGUUGCCAGCAUUAAGUUGGGCACUCUGGUGAGACUGCCGGUGACAAACCGGAGGAAGGUGGGGAUGACGUCAAAUCAUCAUGCCCCUUAUGACCUGGGCUACACACGUGCUACAAUGGAUGGUACAACGAGUUGCGAACUCGCGAGAGUAAGCUAAUCUCUUAAAGCCAUUCUCAGUUCGGAUUGUAGGCUGCAACUCGCCUACAUGAAGUCGGAAUCGCUAGUAAUCGCGGAUCAGCAUGCCGCGGUGAAUACGUUCCCGGGCCUUGUACACACCGCCCGUCACACCAUGAGAGUUUGUAACACCCAAAGUCGGUGGG